rnacentral:rRNA from 1 species
CCUACGGGAGGCAGCAGUGAGGAAUAUUGGUCAAUGGACGCAAGUCUGAACCAGCCAUGCCGCGUGCAGGAAGAAGGUGCUAUGCAUUGUCAACUGCUUUUAUACGGGGGUAAUUACAGAUACGUGUAUCUGGAUGAAAGUACCGUAUGAAUAAGGAUCGGCUACCUCCGUGCCAGCAGCAGCGGUAAUACGGGGGGUGCAAGCGUUGUCCGGAAUCAUUGGGCGUAAAGCGUUCGUAGGCGGCAAGGUAAGUCUGCUGUUAAAGCCCGGGGCUCAACCCCGGUUCGGCAGUGGAUACUAUCUAGCUGGAAUGUGGGAGAGGUAAAGGGAAUUCCUGGUGUAGCGGUGAAAUGCGUAGAUAUCAGGAGGAACAGCAGUGGCGAAAGCGGUUUACUGGACCAUUAUUGACGCUGAGGAACGAAAGCGAGGGGAGCAAAUGGGAUUAGAUACCCCAGUAGUC